rnacentral:rRNA from 1 species
AGCUCCAAUAGCGUAUAUUAAAGUUGUUGUGGUUAAAAAGCUCGUAGUUGGAUCUCAACAGCCUUCGAAGCGGUUAACUUUGUAGUUUUACUGCUUUGUAGGCUGUGCUUUUGCUGGAGGUUUAGGGGUGCUCUUGAUCGAGUGUCUCUGGAUGCCAGCAGGUUUACUUUGAAAAAAUUAGAGUGCUCAAAGCAGGCUAAAAUGCCUGAAUAUUCGUGCAUGGAAUAAUAGAAUAGGAUGUCGAUCCUAUUUUGUUGGUUUUCGGAAAUCGACUUAAUGAUUAAUAGGGAUAGUCGGGGGCAUUCGUAUUCAAACGACAGAGGUGAAAUUCUUGGACCGUUUGAAGACGAACUAAGGCGAAAGCAUUUGCCAAGAAUGUUUUCA